CGAUACGGGACGUUGGAAGCAAACCUGACGAAAACAGGGGAUAUCUUUGAGGCGUGCUGUCGUCGAAAUUAUACGCUUUCAAUUGUGCCAGAAAGUUGCAACGAGCACGCGUAGCUUUAAGUUAUAAUGUUUUCUACGGGGGAUAUUUCUCUGGAAGUUGAGGACUGCUGCUAUCACGGUACUACCUUAAGUGAAUACCUGUACAUACAAACGAUGAGAAUGUAGGUUCUCGGCGACAUAGGUCGAAACGGAAAACUGUCGAUUAAUCGACGUUUCGGCCCUUUGAAGAGGGCACUCCUCGGAAGAUAAUAAUAUAUUUAUAAAGACGUAUUUAACAAGAGGCUUUCCCUUCCAACGAUAUUUUACUGAAACCUUGAGGAAGCGUGUUCAGUUGCCGUUGGUGAGAUUCAGUUGUUAACGACACGCAGUGAGCGCGGAGCGUUGUGGGUACUUUUGUUGCUGCGAUACAAGAAAUUUGGGAUAAAUUUAUACAUAAAUUGUGGAAAAUAUUACAGACCCUACGAAAUUUGUACCGUAGACGAACAAAUAGUAAUAGCUUCAAAGGUAGAUGCAUUUUCAAAGUGUAUUUACCGAGCAAGCCUGAUCGUUAUGGUAUUAAAUUUUUUAUGUUAAAUGAUUCUAAAACGUCGUACACGAUGAAAGCUGUGCCAUAUCUAGGAAAAACAACGCAACGAAUACGUAACGAACCACUUCCAAAUUUUUUUGUGAGAGAAUUAGUAGAACCAAUUCGGGGUCCAAAUCGGACAGUUGUGAUGGAUAAUUGGUUCACCUCAAUUGGCUUAUUUCAAAUACUCCUUGACGAAUAUAACGUGAAGGCGAAUAUAACGUAAAAAUAAAAAAAUUCCACAUAGUUUUACAGAAAAGGCAUCACCAUCAACAACUGAAUACUGUUUCGCAAAUAAUCAAACUUUAUUAUCUUAUGCUCCAAAACGAAAUAAAAUAGUUUUGAUACUUUCAAGUAAUAGUACAAACACCGAAAUUGAUACAGAAACAAACAAACCAAAAUUAAUAUUACAGUAUGAUCAGCGCAAAGGUGGAACAGAUUCAUUCGAUCAAGCUUGUAAAUUAUAUACAGUUGCACGUCGGACAAGAAGGUGGCCAUUAAAAGUUUUUUACGGAAUGUUAAACGCGGCUAAUGUUAAUUCAACAAUUUUAUAUAAUUUAAAUCAUGUAGAGGAAAAGAAGACAAGAUUGAUUUUCAUUAAAGAUUUGUCGUUUGAACUAAUAAAGCCUUGGCUAAUCAGGCGGUAUGGGACUGUACAGCUACGAAACAAUAUUGAAAGCGCAAUAGCUCAACUUCUCAACUACGAAACGCCUGCCGUUAAUUAUUCUGAAGUCAUACCAAUACCCAAAACAAGAUGUCCAUAUUGUCAUUACUCAUUAGGAGUUAAAACAACGAUAAUGUGUCCGCAGUGUCAAAAACCUAUGUGCGAAAGACACCGAUGCCCUAUGUGCGUAGAGUGUUGUAACAAAAAUUCAACUUGAAAUAUACUUUGUGUGUUUAUUCGUAUUUAUGGUGC
rnacentral:lncRNA from 1 species